rnacentral:rRNA from 1 species
AGUGAACGCUGGCGGUAGGCCUAACACAUGCAAGUCGAACGGCAGCACAGUAAGAGCUUGCUCUUACGGGUGGCGAGUGGCGGACGGGUGAGGAAUACAUCGGAAUCUACUUUUUCGUGGGGGAUAACGUAGGGAAACUUACGCUAAUACCGCAUACGACCUACGGGUGAAAGCAGGGGAUCUUCGGACCUUGCGCGAUUGAAUGAGCCGAUGUCGGAUUAGCUAGUUGGCGGGGUAAAGGCCCACCAAGGCGACGAUCCGUAGCUGGUCUGAGAGGAUGAUCAGCCACACUGGAGCUGAGACACGGUCCAGACUCCUACGGGAGGCAGCAGUGGGGAAUAUUGGACAAUGGGCGCAAGCCUGAUCCAGCCAUACCGCGUGGGUGAAGAAGGCCUUCGGGUUGUAAAGCCCUUUUGUUGGGAAAGAAAAGCAGCAGGUUAAUACCCCGCUGUUCUGACGGUACCCAAAUAAUAAGCACCGGCUAACUUCGUG